GUAGGUGGCAAGCGUUGUCCGGAAUUAUUGGGCGUAAAGCGCGCGCAGGCGGUUCUUUAAGUCUGGAUGUGAAAGCCCACGGCUCAACCGUGGAGGGUCAUUGGAAACUGGAGAACUUGAGUACAGAAGUGGAAAGCGGAAUUCCACGUGUAGCGGUGAAAUGCGUAGAGAUGUGGAGGAACACCAGUGGCGAAGGCGGCUUUCUGGUCUGUAACUGACGCUGAGGCGCGAAAGCGUGGGGGAGCAAACAGGAUUAGAUACCCUGGUAGUCCACGCCGUAAACGAUGAGUGCUAAGUGUUAGGGGGUUUCCGCCCCUUAGUGCUGCAGCUAACGCAUUAAGCACUCCGCCCUGGGAGUACGGCCGCAAGGCUG
rnacentral:rRNA from 1 species